rnacentral:lncRNA from 1 species
AUAUGAGAUGAAAAUAGUAUUUGAAUCAGUCUACAAAGUCUCUAAUAAUAUGAAUAAAAUUUCUAUAUCGGAAUAUGGCCCCAACAAAUACCAUGAUACGAAAGUAAUCCAAUUUUUAACUAAAAGAAUAUACAUAGCCUUCUGAAAGAUGGAUGGCUCAACACUUGCAAAUUGUUGUGUCGAGAGAAAUCAUAGCAUUGAACCGGGUCACAGGAUCGCGGGAAUGAGCUUCAGAACCUACAUCAUGAAAAGACAUAGCGCCCGAAGAUGGUCAGUACGAUGAGUACUAACAUGCAACCCAAGGAAAGGGAGUCAAAACAGUUUAUACAAUUUCAUAUCAUAAGCUCAUAAUAAGAACAAUAAUAAGCAAGUGACUCAAAGCAUAAAAGAAACAUAAUCACUUUAAAAAUCUUUAGUUCUGAACUAUGUAGUUUGCAUUGGCAUUAAGUAACCCACGGGCUGUAUGUGUCAAGUUCGUACCUAAGUGGCAGACCUCAAUCCAUGUUAGCUGCAUGGAAUGAGGUAGUCAUAGUUUGACCAUCCUAUCAUAAACAUAACUAUAUACUACUGUGCGGAAUAAGCAUACAGUGGUCAUCCUUCUUUCAGGACAAGACCAAGUGUUAGUCACAAGGACCACACCUUCUCGGUGAAAAUACAUGAUCUUCAAACCCAAUUAAAACAUUUACCAUAACAUUUAUUCAAAGAGUCUUUCAUUAAGGCAUUUACAUUUUUGGUAUCGUCAUACCAAAACUUGCGGGUCCCCGUAUCAUGCCAAAAUCAUAUUCAUUACACAUUUUAAGACUCUAAAAUCCCACCUUUAAAAAUCAUGAAUAUAUUUACGGUUAAGCUUCCAUUAACAAUUUCAGGCAUUCAAAAUAUGCUUUUCUUUCAAAGAUACAAAGGACGGGGAAUUCAUCUAUUUUUCAUUACUCAAUUCUAAACUUUCAAGAGACCUCAUAAUCAUGACUUAAAUAAUUAUUCAUUUAACACUCAAUUUUUAAAGAUAUGAAGAUUCAUCCUUUUCAAAUAGCCAUUUAAUCUCAAAACCCCGAACAAAGAUUAAAGAAUUAUUCAUAAAGAAAGGGAGAAAUUUAUACUAAACUUUCAUGAUAAAAUCCUCAACCCUAACUUCAAAUCAUCAACAUAAUAUACAUAAAUAACAAUUAAAUUCAUACUUUGUAAUACUAGUUGAAGUAGGGAGUGUUCAACGUACCUUUUUGAAGGAAAGAGACUCAGAAAAACUUGAAUCCUUAGCCUUGAAGCUUGAGUCCUAUCUUGAAAUUGAUAUGAAGACUUACUUGACUUGGAUUCGUCCCACAUACCCUUGAUGACGAAUUUGGUGAGAAAAAGUUGAGAAAAAACUAUAAUCUUUGACCCUUCUUAAAACUUUAGUAUUAGGAGUUUAGGGUAGAGAAGAGAAUUAGGAAUUUGAGAAUGAUUCUCAUAUUUUAGGACGAUUUUGGGGAUUAAAAACAAAUUGGGGAAGUUACAGGGGGUGAAAGAACUAGUUUGCCUCUAAUUUAAUAAGAGAAAAGUGAACUUUUACAUCAGGGAGGUGUGCUCCGUGCUGCGGAGGCUUACCACUGAUCUCCUGGCUUUAGCUCUGACCCGCGCUGCCCAACGCGCAGCUGGGACACUGCCUCGCUAAAAAAUCACAACAUUUUGCUCCGAACUCGGAUUUACAAACCGUCGGUGGGUUUGGAAAGAAGACUCCAAGAACUUUCAUUUAGUGGAUCUUGGGUAUCCAAACUCUUCAUAUUCAAGGAGUUAUGCUGGUUUGAAGUUGACUCUCGUAAAAAUCUAUAACUAAAACUCAAUCGGGAGGCAUGCACCCAAAUUAACUCUAUGCUAGGUGUUUUUUUAUGAUCAAGAUUGACAUCCAAACCACUCACCACACUAGAGAAUUAAUCUUCACACUUAUAUCUAAAUAGAAAUCAUUGGGUUCGGAUCUAUACACGAAGGACGGUUCAAAUUCUAGCUCGAAAUUGUGGGGUGUUACAAGUACGCACCUGUCCACAUUUUUGAAGAGUCCGAGCAACAUAGCCUGUAAUUGCUCUCACAGAGGUUCAAGUUGAUGGCUUUUUACCUUUCAAAGGAAGUGGGAUGAAAUAGCUGGGGAAUCCUUAAUUCACUAUUUAAAGUUUUACUUGUUUUUUUUUUAAAUUUUGGAUAGGAAAUGAGGCUUUGAUGACUGUGGCUACGACUGCUCUAACGCCCAAUAUGAUCCUGUAUUUGAUGAAUGAAUAUCACAUGGAUAUGACUACUGGGUCCAACAUUAUGUUCAUCUGGUCAGCAGGUACCAACAUAGCUCCAGUUGUUGGGGCCUUUAUGGCAG